rnacentral:rRNA from 1 species
AGAGUUUGAUCCUGGCUCAGAUUGAACGCUGGCGGCACGCUUAACACAUGCAAGUCGAACGGCAGCAGAAGAAAGCUUGCUUUCUUGCUGGCGAGUGGCGGACGGGUGAGUAAUGCGUAGGAACCUACCCUGAAGAGGGGGACAACCCGGGGAAACUCGGGCUAAAACCGCAUAAUCUUUUCGAAGCAAAGCUGCCUCACACUUAAGUUUUUUACGGAGAAUUUAAGGUGAGGUGGUGCUUUAGGAGGGGCCUACGUUGGAUUAGCUUGUUGGUGAGGUAAAGGCUCACCAAGGCAAUGAUCCAUAGCUGUUCUGAGAGGAAGAUCAGCCACACUGGGACUGAGACACGGCCCAGACUCCUACGGGAGGCAGCAGUGGGGAAUAUUGGACAAUGGGGGAAACCCUGAUCCAGCGAUGCCGCGUGUGUGAAGAAGGCCUGCGGGUUGUAAAGCACUUUUAAUGGGGAGGAAUAGUUCCAUGUUAAUAGCGUGGAGCAGUGACGUUGCCCAUAGAAUAAGCACCGGCAAACUCUGUGCCAGCAGCCGCGGUAAUACAGAGGGUGCGAGCGUUAAUCGGAAUGACUGGGCGUAAAGGGCACGUAGGCGGUUGGACAAGUUAGAUGUGAAAUAUCAGGGCUUAACCUUGGUGCUGCAUCUAAAACUGUCUAACUAGAGUUCACUAGAGGGAAGCGGAAUUUCCGGUGUAGCGGUGAAAUGCGUAGAUAUCGGAAGGAACAUCAGUGGCGAAGGCGGCUUUCUGGAGUUGAACUGACGCUAAGGUGCGAAAGCGUGGGGAGCAAACGGGAUUAGAUACCCCGGUAGUCCACGCUGUAAACGAUGAGUACUAGCUGUUGGAAUGCGACGACAUUUUAGUAGCGUAGUUAACGCGAUAAGUACUCCGCCUGGGGAUUACGGCCGCAAGGCUAAAACUCAAAGGAAUUGACGGGGGCCCGCACAAGCGGUGGAACAUGUGGUUUAAUUCGAUGCAACGCGAAGAACCUUACCUACUCUUGACAUCUAUGGAACAUCUGAGAGAUCAGUUGGUGCUGGAAACAGAACCAUAAGACAGGUGCUGCAUGGCUGUCGUCAGCUCGUGUCGUGAGAUGUUGGGUUAAGUCCCGUAACGAGCGCAACCCCUGUCCUUAGUUGCCAGCACAUUAUGGUGGGGACUCUAAGGAGACUGCCGGUGAUAAGCCGGAGGAAGGUGGGGAUGACGUCAAGUCAUCAUGGCCUUUAUGAGUAGGGCUACACACGUGUUACAAUGGACAGUACAGAGGGAGGCCAAGCCGUGAGGUGGAGCGGAACUCAGAAAACUGUUCGUAGUCCGGAUUGAAGUCUGCAAUUCGACUUCAUGAAGUUGGAAUCGCUAGUAAUCGCGAAUCAGAAUGUCGCGGUGAAUACGUUCCCGGGCCUUGUACACACCGCCCGUCACACCAUGGGAGUGGGUUGCAAAAGAAGUGGGUAGCUUAACAUUGGGCGCUCACCACUUUGUGAUUCAUGACUGGGGUGAAGUCGUAACAAGGUA